CCUACGGGUGGCUGCAGUGGGGAAUAUUGGACAAUGGGCGAAAGCCUGAUCCAGCCAUGCCGCGUGUGUGAAGAAGGCCUUCGGGUUGUAAAGCACUUUCAGUGGGGAAGAAAGCCUUGGGGCUAAUACCCUCGAGGAAGGACAUCACCCACAGAAGAAGCACCGGCUAACUCCGUACCAGCAGCCGCGGUAAUACGGAGGGUGCGAGCGUUAAUCGGAAUUACUGGGCGUAAAGCGCGCGUAGGCGGUCUGAUAAGCCGGUUGUGAAAGCCCCGGGCUCAACCUGGGAACGGCAUCCGGAACUGUCAGGCUAGAGUGCAGGAGAGGAAGGUAGAAUUCCCGGUGUAGCGGUGAAAUGCGUAGAGAUCGGGAGGAAUACCAGUGGCGAAGGCGGCCUUCUGGACUGACACUGACGCUGAGGUGCGAAAGCGUGGGUAGCAAACAGGAUUAGAUACCCCAGUAGUC
rnacentral:rRNA from 1 species